rnacentral:rRNA from 1 species
UGGGGAAUUUUGGACAAUGGGCGAAAGCCUGAUCCAGCAAUGCCGCGUGUGUGAAGAAGGCCUUCGGGUUGUAAAGCACUUUUGUCCGGAAAGAAAUCCUUGGCUCUAAUACAGUCGGGGGAUGACGGUACCGGAAGAAUAAGCACCGGCUAACUACGUGCCAGCAGCCGCGGUAAUACGUAGGGUGCAAGCGUUAAUCGGAAUUACUGGGCGUAAAGCGUGCGCAGGCGGUUUGCUAAGACCGAUGUGAAAUCCCCGGGCUCAACCUGGGAACUGCAUUGGUGACUGGCAGGCUAGAGUAUGGCAGAGGGGGGUAGAAUUCCACGUGUAGCAGUGAAAUGCGUAGAGAUGUGGAGGAAUACCGAUGGCGAAGGCAGCCCCCUGGGCCAAUACUGACGCUCACGCACGAAAGCGUGGGAGCAAACAGGAUUAGAUACCCUGGUAGUCCACGCCCUAAACGAUGUCAACUAGUUGUUGGGGAUUCAUUUUCCUUAGUAACGUAGCUAACGCGUGAAGUUGACCGCCUGGGGAGUACGGUCGCAAGAUUAAAACUCAAAGGAAUUGACGGGGUCAUAGCUGUUUCCU